rnacentral:rRNA from 1 species
AGAGUUUGAUCCUGGCUCAGGUUACUGCUAUCGAGGUUCGACUAAGCCAUGCGAGUCGAAUGUAGCAAUACAUGGCGUACUGCUCAGUAACACGUGGACAACCUACCCUCAGGUCGGGGAUAAACCCGGGAAACUGGGUAUAAUACCCGAUAGAUCUCGGCUGCUGGAAUGCAUCGAGCUCUAAAGCUCCGGCGCCUGAGGAUGGGUCUGCGGCCUAUCAGGUAGUAGUGGGUGUAGCGUACCUACUAGCCUACGACGGGUACGGGUUGUGAGAGCAAGAGCCCGGAGAUGGAUUCUGAGACACGAAUCCAGGCCCUACGGGGUGCAGCAGGCGCGAAAACUUUACAAUGCCGGCAACGGCGAUAAGGGGACCUCGAGUGCCAGGUUACAAAUCUGGCUGUCGUAAUGCCUAAAAAGCAUUGCAUAGCAAGGGCCGGGCAAGACCGGUGCCAGCCGCCGCGGUAACACCGGCGGCUCGAGUGGUAACCGUUAUUAUUGGGUCUAAAGGGUCUGUAGCCGGCCGGAUAAGUCUCUUGGGAAAUCCAGCAGCUUAACUGUUGGGCUUUCAGGAGAUACUGUCUGGCUCGAGGCCGGGAGAGGUGAGAGGUACUUCAGGGGUAGGGGUGAAAUCUUGUAAUCCUUGAAGGACCACCAGUGGCGAAGGCGUCUCACCAGAACGGACCUGACGGCAAGGGACGAAAGCUAGGGGCACGAACCGGAUUAGAUACCCGGGUAGUCCUAGCCGUAAACGAUACUCGCUAGGUGUCGGCCACGGUGCGACCGUUGUCGGUGCCGUAGGGAAGCCGUGAAGCGAGCCACCUGGGAAGUACGGCCGCAAGGCUGAAACUUAAAUGAAUUGACGG